rnacentral:rRNA from 1 species
AGCAGUCGCCACGGUAAUACGGAGGAUCCGAGCGUUAUCCGGAAUUAUUGGGUUUAAAGGGUGCGUAGGCGGAUAGAUAAGUCAGUGGUGAAAGACGGUGGCUCAACCAUCGCAGUGCCGUUGAUACUGUUUAUCUUGAAUAUGGAUGAGGUAGGCGGAAUGUGGCAAGUAGCGGUGAAAUGCAUAGAUAUGCCACAGAACACCGAUUGCGAAGGCAGCUUACCAAGGCAAAAUUGACGCUGAGGCACGAAAGCGUGGGGAUCGAACAGGAUUAGAUACCCCAGUAGUCCCUGUCUCUUAUAC